rnacentral:rRNA from 1 species
AUUGAACGCUGGCGGCAUGCCUUACACAUGCAAGUCGAACGGUAACGGGCCUUCGGGUGCCGACGAGUGGCGAACGGGUGAGUAAUGCAUCGGAACGUACCUUUCAGUGGGGGAUAACGUAGCGAAAGUUACGCUAAUACCGCAUAUUCUGUGAGCAGGAAAGCAGGGGAUCGCAAGACCUUGCGCUGAUUGAGCGGCCGAUGUCAGAUUAGCUAGUUGGUGAGGUAAGGGCUCACCAAGGCGACGAUCUGUAGCGGGUCUGAGAGGAUGAUCCGCCACACUGGGACUGAGACACGGCCCAGACUCCUACGGGAGGCAGCAGUGGGGAAUUUUGGACAAUGGGGGCAACCCUGAUCCAGCCAUGCCGCGUGAGUGAAGAAGGCCUUCGGGUUGUAAAGCUCUUUCGGCCGGGAAGAAAUCGCGCGGGCUAAUACCUUGUGUGGAUGACGGUACCGGAAUAAGAAGCACCGGCUAACUACGUGCCAGCAGCCGCGGUAACAC